rnacentral:lncRNA from 1 species
UAGGCGUGCCACAUUUUUUUUAAAGAUACUAGAUAUUCCUUAGUUGCUUUAACAAACGAGAGGAAAAGCUUCAGGGGACACGACUUCGAAUUUGAACAAUUACAUUUUGGCGCCUUUUACUAUUUUUUAAAUUUUUUGUCUAUGACCUAUUGAGAGGAAAAGUUUAGAUCAACCCCAACCCCCUUUCAAAUCCCAACAUUACAAUUACAUUUUGGCGCCUUUUCCUAUUUUUUAAAUUUUUUGUCUAUGACCUAUUGAGGGGAAAACUACUACUUUUUUGCAGUAGUUCUCCAAUGUAGGAAACUACUACUUUUGGCUAAAUGAAAAACGGAAAGAAAAGGGAAGAUAAAGCUCUGAACGGAACGGUUAACAAACUGCGGUAAAAGAAAAUAAUGGUUGCUGAAGAAAAAUAACGGAAAACCAAAUUGCUGUGGAAAAAUAAAUGCAGAGAAAUAGCUUGAGAG